rnacentral:rRNA from 1 species
AACGAACGCUGGCGGUAGGCCUAACACAUGCAAGUCGAACGCUCCGCAAGGGGGAGUGGCGCACGGGUGAGUAACACGUGGGAACCUACCUUCUGGUACGGAACAACCAAGGGAAACUUUGGCUAAGACCGUAUACGACCUCCGGGUGAAAGAUUGAUCGCCGGAAGAGGGGCCCGCGUCCGAUUAGGUAGUUGGUGAGGUAACGGCUCACCAAGCCUUCGAUCGGUAGCUGGUCUGAGAGGAUGACCAGCCACACUGGGACUGAGACACGGCCCAGACUCCUACGGGAGGCAGCAGUGGGGAAUAUUGGACAAUGGGCGCAAGCCUGAUCCAGCCAUGCCGCGUGAGUGAUGAAGGCC